rfam:Oceanobacillus picturae, S1, WGS project CCAX01000000 data, contig: 000001
ACUUAAGGAACAAAGGCUAAAAGCGCCACAUCUUGGGGCAACGCCUUCGUGACCAACGUCCUGUUGG